rnacentral:rRNA from 1 species
UGACCCUCAAAUCAGGUAAGAAUACCCGCUGAACUUAGCAUAUCAAUAAGCGGGAGGUAAAGAAAAUAACAAUGAUUCCCCUAGUAACGCGAGCGAAGAGGGAAUAGCUCAAAUUUUAAAUCUUGUUAGGUUUACCUAACCGAGUUGUAAUUUGAAGAAGCGUUUUCCGCGUGUUCGAUUAGCCCAAAUCCUUUGGGAUAAGGUAUCAUGGAGGGUGAGAAUCCCGUCCGGUUAAAUCGAGCUCCUUUACGAUACGCUUUCUAAGAGUCGAGUUGUUUGGGAUUGCAGCUCAAAAUGGGAGGUAAAUUUUCUCCUAAGGCUAAAUACAGGCGAGAGACCGAUAGCGAACAAGUACCGUGAGGGAAAGAUGAAAAGAACUUUGAAAAGAGAGUUAGACAGUACGUGAAAUUGUUGAAAGGGAAACGAUUAAAGUCAGUCGUACUGACGGGGAAUCAACCUUUCGAACGUGAUAACGUGGGGUUCAAAGAGCCUUUGUUCUUCCGGCAUUCGCGUUUUUUUGGUGCACUUUCUCGUGUUUGUAGGUUAGCAUCGGUUUUGACCGUUAUAAAAUGAUCGGAGGAAUGUAGCUUCGAUUUCGAUUGAAGUGUUACAACCUUUGGUAAAUGUAACUGUCGGGACCGAGGAUUGCAACGGAUACCCUAAACGGGCUAUUCGUCUGAUCUCUGAUACGUCACUUUGGCGUCGAAAGCUUGCUUACGAUGUUAAAGGCGUCGGUCAAAAGGUUAGAACGAAUUAAAUUCGUUAAGGAUGCUGACGUAAUGACUUUAAACGACCCGUCUUGAAACACGGACCAAGGAGUCUAACAUGUG